GUUGUUUUUACAGGAGAGAAAAAUGUUGCUAAAGAAGACUCUAGUUUGGAUUUUGAGGGUUGCUGCUGCUGCUGGAAAGGAAGUCGAGCAAACCCUAGCUCUAGCUACUUUGGAUUGAUUUUGUUUCCUGUAUUCAAUUCUGCUAAAGCACAAGCAGGCCACCACUCAGUUUCGUUAACUGAGAGGUGCACAGCUCAGUUUCGUUAACUGAGAGGUGCAAAGGCAGGCCGCUGCUCAGUUUUGUUAACUGAGUGGGACGGUAAAUGCAAGGGCAGGCCGCCACUUAGUUCCAUGAACUUUGGGGAGUAGCACCACUCAGGUGUGAAGGCAGGCCCCCACUUAGUUCCAUGAACUUUGGGGAGUAGCACCACUCAGUUCUGUUUACUGAGAGGUGUGAAGGCAUAAAUGUGUGCUAAAUAUAAUACGUCUUGCUCACCGAAGCAUCUUUGGGAUAAAUACACAUUCAACUGCAACUUUUGGAAGACAAACAGGUGAGCUUCUCUCUCUCCCCCUCUCUUCUUUUUCAUUCUUACUCGAGGAUCGGAGUAUCUUGCUUGUUUUUCUGUUGCAAAACUUAUUACUUAUUCCAGGGACAUAUUCAGUAGGGAGAGUCUUUUAAGGCAGAAAUAGAAUGCUUUGCCUGCUUGGCAUUUGAUCAGCCUGUUGCUUGGGUAAAGUUUCACUCAAAAUUUGCCAUGUUUAGCUUUUGUUAUAUGACUUAUGUUGCUCACUUGACUACUGGUACUCCAGUAGUAUAUUUAGUUUUAUUCUUUCUUUCGUAAUCAAAUCUUGGGCUGCAUUUAUUUGCGAAGGAAGAAAACAAGUUACAUGUCAAAUCAAAAGGUAUACUUUCUUAACUUUAUCUCAAUGUAUACAGGUCUAUCAUUCUUGUUCUCGAUGAGUACAUUUUUGCUUUUACAAAGACAUUUAGUAGUUAUCAUCUUAUGGUUAUGGAUAAACAAUUGCAAGAAAGACAAUGGUAAGUCUUGAGGCUAUGAUGAUCAUUAUUAGCUUGUGUCCAGGCAUAGGUAAAAUCUAUCUUCAUCAGCCAUGGCAGGGUAACUCGGGACGGCCUUAUGGAAGAAAUUUGUUUCCCCAUUUUUCUUUCAUUUAGGCUACAGUUUCUGCCGCUAUGCAGGAGAUAGAUGCCUUUCCCUGUCCGACCCAAGAUAAACCUGAGCCUCUCUCUUAAACUGGCUACAGUUUAGAGUCAUGCAUGUAACUAGUUAUCUGCCUCUGUAUUUUGUUUUACAUAAAAAGGUAAUCUGCUAUAGUUAACUCUUUGCUAACCAUAUUUUGGAUUGCUUUCUUUCUAACUUAAUCUUCGGAUUAUAUUUUUUGUUUUUCUUUUUGCAGGUCUUCCCCUUAUAUUCCUAUGAUAAAUUAAGGAGAGCUAAUCUAGUGUCUCGUGGACAAUGUUACCUGUUUGGCUUUUGUUCAGUUCAUGUCGACGUAAUGAUUCUCUGGAGCAUGAAAAAUCAAUUGCUGUCUACGUGUGAAGAUGUAGAACAAAGAUAUUGGAUAGGUGCACCACAACAAUGCUCUAUCAAGCUUGGCAUCAGCAUCCCAAGAUUGGCCGUCCACAAUCAGGUCUGUCUUCGAUGCCACACCUGAGUGUGGGUGAGGGACGUCCUUCUUGGAUGAUGAUUUCUAGUCCAAUUGGGAUGACAUGCUCAUACGCUCUGAAUACGCAAGUUUUCCUUCUUCUACAGUGAAUGGGAAUACAUAAUAUUAUUGUGUCACUAAGGUGUUGUGGAAAGUUUAAACUUAUAUCCCUUUUUGUAAAUCCUACAUUUUGAAGUCACCAAAUGACUAAUUUCUUUUCAUAUUUCAACGUGUACUGUGCUCCUCGGUGCAACAAACCUAGACGUGUUACCUGACCCCAUCAUAUAACUGAGUACUGUAAUAACAAUAUUACUCAAUUUUAUAUCCAAGCUCCUAAUUGUUGGUGUUGUAUCUGGAGUAGUCCAGGUGGGAGGAGGUUGUGGUCA